rnacentral:misc_RNA from 1 species
GAUGAAGAACGCAGCGAAAUGCGAUAAGUAGUGUGAAUUGCAGAAUUCAGUGAAUCAUCGAAUCUUUGAACGCACAUUGCGCCCCUUGGUACUCCAUGGGGCAUGCCUGUUCGAGCGUCAUUUACACCCUCAAGCUCAGCUUGGUGUUGGGCGUCUGUCCCGCUUCGUGCGCGGACUCGCCUCAAAUGCAUUGGCAGCGGUCUUGCCAGCUUCUCGCGCAGCACAUUGCGCUUCUAGAGGCUUUGGCGGAUCGGAGUCCAUCAAGUACACCCACAGUUUGACCUCGGAUCAGGUAGGGAUACCCGCUGAACUUAAGCAUAUCAAUAAGCGGAGGA